AGUGAACGCUGGCGGUAGGCCUAACACAUGCAAGUCGAACGGAAGCACAGUAAGAGCUUGCUCUUACGGGUGGCGGGUGGCGGACGGGUGAGGAAUACAUCGGAAUCUACUUUUUCUUGGGGGAUAACGUAGGGAAACUUACGCUAAUACCGCAUACGACCUACGGGUGAAAGCAGGGGAUCUUCGGACCUUGCGCGAUUGAAUUAGCCGAUGUCGGAUUAGCUAGUUGGCGGGGUAAAGGCCCACCAAGGCGACGAUCCGUAGCUGGUCUGAGAGGAUGAUCAGCCACACUGGAACUGAGACACGGUCCAGACUCCUACGGGAGGCAGCAGUGGGGAAUAUUGGACAAUGGGCGCAAGCCUGAUCCAGCCAUACCGCGUGAGUGAAGAAGGCCUUCGGGUUGUAAAGCCCUUUUGUUGGGAAAGAAAAGCAGCAGGUUAAUACCCCGCUGUUCUGACGGUACCCAAAGAAUAAGCAUCGGCUAACUUCGUG
rnacentral:rRNA from 1 species